UACGGAGGGUGCAAGCGUUAUCCAGAUUCACUGGGUUUAAAGGGUGCGUAGGCGGCUAUAUAAGUCAGUGGUGAAAGCCCGCAGCUCAACUGCGGAACUGCCAUUGAAACUGCAUAGCUUGAAUCUGGUUGAAGUGGGCGGAAUACAUCAUGUAGCGGUGAAAUGCUUAGAUAUGAUGUAGAACACCGAUUGCGAAGGCAGCUAACUAAGCGAUGAUUGACGCUGAGGCACGAAAGCGUGGGGAUCAAACAGG
rnacentral:rRNA from 1 species